UACGUAGGGGGCAAGCGUUGUCCGGAUUUAUUGGGUGUAAAGGGCGCGUAGGCGGUCUUUUAAGUCAGUGCUGAAAUACUCCAGCUUAACUGGAGGGGUGGCAUUGAUACUGGAAGACUUGAGUGCAGUCGAGGUAGGCGGAAUUGACGGUGUAGCGGUGAAAUGCUUAGAUAUCGUCAAGAACACCGAUAGUGAAGACAGCUUACUAGGAUAAAACUGACGCUGAGGCACGAAAGUGUGGGGAUCAAACAGG
rnacentral:rRNA from 1 species